GCGGUCGUGGCGGAAUUGGUAGACGCGCAGCGUUGAGGUCGCUGUGGCAGAGAUGCCGUGGAAGUUCGAGUCUUCUCGACCGCA
rnacentral:tRNA from 2 species